AAUUCUACCCUACUCAGCCCCCCAUUCUUUACCCGAAUCGACCCAAAUUUCCCUAUAUCCCUUAACCUUUAUUGUUCAAGCUUCCAACAGAUAACAACAACAACAUUCAAAACAACAUAAAACGCCAACAACCAAUGGCGUCAACCAACACAACUCCAUACGAUGCCACCGUCUAAUCUCAUCCCUCUUUCGUGGUAGUCCGCAUGCCAUGCACGAGGGUCAUACACCCAGAACCUUCCAGGAAACCAUUUUCACUCUAUUUUCAAAAUUUAAAUUCAUCAAUUUCGUACAUAGAAGGUACAAUUCCAACUCGCCUAUCCUUAACUCUUAGCAAAUUCGAAAAAAACCCUUUUAAAAAUCUCCAAAAAGCCUUUGAAAUUCAGGAUCCCACAUUGUUAAAAUCACAGAAAUACCAUUUCAAAAACUCCAUAAAUAGAUCACUAUUCCUAUGUGAAAAUUCAAGAAUUGAUAGCAAAGAGCCCCAAUUUGUAAGAAAUUUCAGUUAUCAAAAGUGAUUUCAGCGCAAGGUUUCUCUGAGACUCAACUUUGAGCUUGAAAUUCUAGGCUACAAAAUUCUAGUGGCCUUUUCAGCAACUUUAAAGAAUCGAGAUCCAAAUGAAGCUUGUAGUCUCAGUUUGCUACUCCAUAAAAGGUUUAGACACUCCAUUUCCCGACUGCUCGUAGACAGCUUAGCGUACUCUGCAGCAAUAGUGAUUCGGAUGCUCAGUUUCCCGAUCGCUCUUAGACAUCUCAGUGUAGUCAGCAGCAGUAGUGGUGAGUCCUCAUCCAUCGAGAACAUGAUUUGUUUAUUUCAGUUACGUCAGCACUUUCUUAUGUUCAGUUAGUUAGAGUUAGUUGAGGGUUCUGUCUCAUCAACUCUUCAGUUAGUUUAGAGGCUUUCAGACAAUUAGACAGUCAGGCGGCAGUUAGUUAGUUACCAGAUCUUUCAGUUCUUUUUCGUCGUUCAGAUAGAUGUUUAGUUUUCAGUAUUUAUCAAAUGUUUUAGACUUGUGAUGUAAUCACAUCUCAGUAUUCAAAUUGGUAUUACUUUAGCA